rnacentral:rRNA from 1 species
UACGUAGGGUCCGAGCGUUGUCCGGAAUUACCGGGCGUAAAGCGCGCGCAGGCGGCCCGCGAGGUGUCACGUGAAAGCCCCGGGCUCAACCCGGGAGGGUCGUGGCAAACCGGCGGGCUUGAGGCCGGUAGAGGUGGGUGGAACUCCUGGUGGAGUGGUGAAAUGCGUAGAGAUCAGGAAGAACACCCGUGGCGAAGGCGGCCCACUGGGCCGGUACUGACGCUGAGGCGCGAAGGCGUGGGGAGCGAACGGG